UACGGAGGGGGCUAGCGUUGUUCGGAAUUACUGGGCGUAAAGCGCGCGUAGGCGGCUUUGUAAGUUAGAGGUGAAAUCCCAAGGCUCAACCUUGGAACUGCCUUUGAUACUGGGGAUCUCGAGUUCGGGAGAGGUGAGUGGAACUGCGAGUGUAGAGGUGAAAUUCGUAGAUAUUCGCAAGAACACCAGUGGCGAAGGCGGCUCACUGGCCCGAUACUGACGCUGAGGUGCGAAAGCGUGGGGAGCAAACAGG
rnacentral:rRNA from 1 species